rnacentral:lncRNA from 1 species
UCCAGCGACAACAGAGAACCUCCUGAGAGGUUCGGUAGAAUCUCCUUGUCAGGGGAUUCGGGUUUCGGUCCCACCCCUGAGAGGGAGUCCUCCCACACUCAAGCCCUUCCUUUUCUUCCCUCUCCCCUGGUUCUCUCCUGAGCCCGCCCUUUGCCCUAGUUUCUCCUCUUAGGGGUGGGGGUUGGGGGGAAUGGAGCUGGGCUUGCCAGUAGGGUUGUCAUAUUUAGCAGUAAAAAUACGGGAUGCUAGUUCAAAUUUAAAUUUCACAUAAACAAUACAUAAUUCUUUAGUAUAAUAUGUGUCCGAUAUCAAAUAAAAUUAAAAUAUAAAAACAUCAUUUGUUAACUGUCUGAAAUUUAACUGGGCAUCCUGUUUUUUACCUGACAAUCCUAGGCAAAAAUAGCAUUUAUGUACCUCCUAUUUACGGUAUCCUUUCAUAGCACUCCCAGUAUGGGGAGUGUUAUAAUCCAUGUUCUGAUGAACCCCAAAGGGUCUUGCCCAAGGUUAUGCAACUAGUAAGUAACCAGGCUGGGAUACCUUAAAAGCCCAUUUCAAUUCUGCUAUCUCUCGUCAGGUGUGCAAUUCAAGGAAAGACUCCUGGAGAGCUCGUCCAAUUGUUAGAAUGAAUCUCCUUAAUAAAAGCCAAUUUAUCUUUCAGAGGGGCUAUAGAGUUGUUUUAUAUUCAGGUUCUCUGCUGUGGCAUUUACCUUAUAUUUGGGGGAAGAAACUGUAUUAAACUGUCAAGGAAUAUUGAUUUACUAUAUGAUGAUGAAAGUAUAUUUUAUAUUAUUAAGUCACAAUAGCAUAUCAUUUGACUUUGACAUCAGUGAACAAGGUUAUGUUCAUACAGUAGACCCAUACAUCUCUGUAAACAUAGUGAUUAAGGCAGUAUAGGGUAUUCUGAAAUGAGACAUACCUCGGUUCAAAGCCUAGCUUCACGAACACUUUGAUGCAGUAGGUAAGUUGCAGAAUCUCUCUGGGCCUCUGUUUGCUCUUUUUAAAAAAGAAAUAGUAAUUAUAACCACUUCGUAGGGUUGUUGUACUAAAUUCUUAUCAAGUGCCUGGAACAUUUAAAUUAAUUAAUUUUAGCUAUGAUUUGCCAUUAUACUUUGAGUAUAAUGUGGAUUUUGGCAUAAAUCAUUAGAUAAUUAAGUGUUUUAAUUUUAGUUUUAAGUUGAAAAAAGCCAGUAAUUAAGAAUAUUAUGAAUAUUGUGAAUUUCAGUGAAAUGUACUAUUCAAUAAUAAAAGAGAUAUUUUAGAUAAUAUACCAGUUUCACUAAAUCAACUAUCUGUAAGCCAAGUUAAUAGAAUAAAAUAUUUGUAUAUCAGUCUCAGUAAUUGCUCCUCAUGUAUAAUUUUAUAUGAUUUUCAUUUUCAUUGUGUUAUAAACAGGAAGAAAACUUACCAAGCACCAAAGGAGAGAAAAUAACUACAGGGUGAGGGGUAAAGCCAGAAAAUAGGUCUAUGAUCAGUGGCUGUUUAUGGUGAGGUAGACUUAGUAUGUUUUAAAAACCAAAUGUCAAGCUUUGUAGGAAUUUUAUAUUUCUUUGUAUAUUGUCUUAUUUCCUUAGUGUUUACAGUGUUAACUUAGUUCACUUACAAACUAUUCUCUAAAAUUCCUCUUGGGAACUUUUUUCAGUUUUUCUCUAAAAAACUACAAAAGCUUUCUACUACCUUGAAGGGAAUGUGGAAUUGUGAAAAUUGAAAUUAACAACUAUGGACUAUUAUCCAAAUAAUUGUAAACAAGUCACUGAACACAUCUGAGCCUUGCUUUAUCUCUAAAAUCAAAACAAAUGAAAACCUACCCCACCAUCCCCAAGGUUUAUAAAUGCUACCGAUUACUGUAACUCAUCCACCCGAAAAAAUUCCUCCAUGGAUGAAUCCAACUAUUUGGAUUUUUUGUUCCUGCUGCAGGCUUCCCAGAAGAGCUGGAGAAACUUUCACACUGGAAAGACUUGGUACUAAAAUAAAUUCAUGGUAGUCACCUUCACCUGGACUUUCACACCGCACAGCAGGCCCACUGUGUUUCUCUAACCACUCAUUCUUCCUUUUUAUGCAAUUGCGGUUUCAAAUCCUCUUCACUUCUUUCAAGCUUCUGACAUCCUUUGAAAGCCAUUCUCACUAAGUGACCUCUGUGUUAUUGAGAAAAUUGAGUACCUGAGCUUCUGAAUUUCCUGCUGGAAAAUCUGCCCACUGACCUUCAUCUGCAUCCAUCCAGCUUUCACUGAAUCCUAGUACCUUUGCCUGUGUUCUGAAUUCUUCCUUACUAUCUCAGGGACCUUUAUCAUCAGUUAUCCCUUAUGUCACCUGGAUGGUCAGCCACUGCCUCUAAAUCCUUCCCAUCCGCAUGUAAAUAUUCAUUCCUGCAGUCCCUUCUUCAGGGAACAGUUGUCAGUUACCAUUCUUCCACCCAUCUAAUACUCGAUUUCUUCUCCCAUUUGUAAUCAGUUUUAAAGAACCGUCUGCCCUGAUGUUUCUAUUUCUUUACUUCCCAUUCUCUUGGCAACCUGUUCCCGUUGUUCUUCCAUCCUCACCCCUCUCCUGAAACUAUUCCUGCUAAGGUCCCAAUAGUUUCCUUGUCCCUUAAUCCCAUGGACUUCUGACCUGUUAGGCAACAUUUCAUACCCUAAACCAGUGUUCGGGCAAACUGUAGCAUGUGGACCAAAUAUAGCUUCAGCAUGUUCUUAUAUGGCCUUUGAACUAAAAUAUUUUCAUCUAUCUGGCUCUUUACAGAAAAAGAUUGCCAACCCCUUCUAUAGUUCACUCCCUCCUUUUAAAAAUAAAUUCUUCUUUUGGCUCUUCCCUUAUAAGUAAGUUUUGUUUUCUUUGUACUCUUCUCUCCUUUCUUUCUCAGUCUCUCUGUGGUUACCAGACCCUUAGAUGUUGGAAUUCCUCAACACUUUAUGUUGGAAGUGGGAUCUUCUGGAUCUCAUCUACUCCCAAACUUCUACCUCACAUUUUCUUCUGAACAUCAUACAUGUGUAUUCAACUGCCUACUCAACCUCUCCACUUAAUGUGCUACAGAUAGCCCAAACUCAAUAUAUUUGAAACUGAACUCACAAUCCUGUGCUAACCCUGCCUUUCCUACAGACUGUCAUAACCCAAUAGAGUAUAAAGCUGUUGCUUAUAAAGUUAAUGUCAGAAAUCUGGGAGUCUUUGAACAUCUCUUCCUCUCCUCAUCUUGUUCCACUCACAUCUAAGUAAUCACCAAAUGCUAUUAAUUGUAUUACCUGCUUGGUUUUUAAUCUACUUCAUUCAUUCUGCCCAAUACCACCCUAAAGUCAAAAACACCAUCAUCUGGUCAAAUGCUUUAACCUAAGUAGCCUUCCUCUUUUUCUUUAAAAAAAUUUUUUUUGUAAUUGAAUAAUUCUCAUACCAUAUGGGUUACCCUAAAAUUUACAAUUUAGUAGUUCUUAGCUUAUUCAAGAUUCAAACAUUAGUGGUACAUAUCUGGUAUUUUUGCCAUAAGCAUCUUUGCUGUAGACAUUUUUGCUGCAUAGCUAAGUGGCUUUAGAGCAAUUUUGCCUUAAAACAUAAGAUAACUGGUUGACAGUUUGGUUUCAAAUGAUUGACACUUAGUUUCAUUUCUCCAUUGACACAGUUCUCCCAUUUUUAUAUUCCAUAAAUCCUAGCCCUCAUAAGGAUCGACACAAUGACAAGUAGAUAUGGUAGUAUUAAAAUAGUGGAUGAAAACUGUAUAUCAACUUGAUGGGAAAUAUGGUGAUAAAACUUACCGGAACUGUUAAAUAAGAAUGUAAAGACAGAUUGCAUACUAUACCAGAAAAUGAUAACUCACAAAGCUCAGUUAUAAUUGAGUAUUUGGAAACUGAUACCUCUUUUUUUUCCUUUUUUUGUGCUUUUCAGGGCUGCACCCACGGCGUAUGGAGGUUCCCAGGCUAGGGGUCUAAUCAGAGCUAUAGCUGCCGGCCUACACCAUAGCCACAGCAACACCAGAUACGAGCCUCGUCUGCAACCUACAUCACAGUUCAUGGCAGCGCCGGAUCCUUAACCCAAUGAGCAAGGCCAGGGAUCGAACCCGCAAUCUCAUGGUUCCUAGUCGGAUUUGUUUCUGCUGUGCCACAGUGGGUACUCCUGAUACCUCUCUUAAUGAAAGAAGAAAGUUUAGUGAAAAAGAAAAGGUGCUAUGCCGAAUGAGGAGAGACAUCAACUGCAAAAUAACAAAGUAAAAUGUAUGUGUAAAAUACAUUCUCUUACAUCAUAGUACAAUUAUCAAAAUCAAGAAAUUAAUUUUGAUGUAAUAUUAUCUAAUCUGCUGACCUUAUUAAGAUUUAGCCAGUUGUCAAACUAACGUGUAUGUGUAUUUUACAAAAAAUAAAAAUAAAAGAACAGGGAGUUCCCGUCGUGGCGCAAUGGUUAACGAAUCCGACUAGGAACCAUGAGGUUGCGGGUUCGAUCCCUGCCCUUGCUCAGUGGGUUAACGAUCCGGCGUUGCCGUGAGCUGUGGUGUAGGUUGCAGACGCGGCUCGGAUCCCGCGUUGCUGUGGCUCUGGCGUAGGCCGGCGGCUACAGCUCCGAUUCAACCCCUAGCCUGGGAACCUCCAUAUGCCGCGGGAGCGGCCCAAGAAAUAGCAACAACAACAACAACAAAAAGACAAAAAUAAAUAAAUAAAUAAAUAAAUAAAAGAGCAGAACAGAAAAAAUGGGGUUUUAGUGGUCUAGAAUCUAAUUCAGUUUCACACAUUGGAUUUAGUCACCAUGUCUCUUUGGUCUGCCUCAUUCUGGAACACUUCCUCACUCUUUGUCUUUAAUAAGACUAGAUGAUGACGGGAGUUUUGGUAUUCAUGAUGCAUCAGCAAUGGAGAGCUCUACUUGAUACUCAAAACAAGAGGAGAGGAUGGUGUCACUCACUGAGCAUGCAGUUUUGGCAUUUGGAGACUAUAUGGGAGCAACUUGUCUGUGCCUGCCUUGUGUGGAAUCAGUGCUCCCAAUGAAAUGCAAAACCUGCAGGCUGAUAGAGGAGGCAGCACACAACGUCCAGGGAGAGCAUUGAUAUGUUAAAUAGAAGAUAUCUUUUCUCUAGAAGAAAGUCUCGGCAACCCACUGUUAAGUAAGACUUUUUUUCGUUUUACAAAAUGGAUCAAGAUGCUUGUUUUGGAUGAAUUCAGUAAAAAUGUUGAGCCAAAGGAUUAAAGGUCAAAUCCAUGAGAUUUACCGGAAAUCAAAUCUGGAUUCAGGCUGUAUUGUUUUCUGCCUUAAUGCUAAUCGAUAUAUUGAAAAUCAUCAAAAAGUUCCCAAGAGAUCCAUUUCAAAUUCCGGUGAAGAAGGAAGAACUGAACUUUGAAAAGGCCAAAAUGUUACAAUAAUUUUGAAAGAGGAAUUGUUCAGAGUUGAUUUGGGAGGAAAGCAAUGGCCGUAAGUGUUGAAGAAGACAAGGAGGUUCUUUGUGAUACUGAUACUUUCUACAAUACUGCAGUGGAGGAAACGCCAGUGGGUAUGACGGACCUUAUUAAAUCCUGGGAUGAAAUGGUUUUGAAUGUGAUGCUUGCUGUUGCAGUGCAGGUGAUCAUGAUGUGCACUGUGCUUCUUUUGCAGGGGGCGGGGGGGUUGCGGGAGGAAUAUUUGAAGCUUGUUUCAAUGCUCAUAACGGAUCAAAAAUAUAGAUUUUGCUGCAAAGCAACUUUAGUCAUGAGCUCUUUUGAGGAAAGUCAUUGCCUUUAUCCUCUUUAGAGUUAGAUUGUUGGUUGGGUCUAAGGGAUUGUGAACAUCUUCCUUAGCAAUUUAUUUCCUAGUUAUCUAAAUAAUAAUUAUAUUGAGUAUUUGUUAUCAUCUAAUAAUAUACUUACAGACUGAAAGAUAUGUGCCUUCAGUGUUUAAACUAGUGUAUCUGCCAUUAUUGUGUUAGUCAUCAGGCUGAGUAGAAUGAACUUUAAAAUUAUUUUUUAAGAAAAUAUUUGAAUUCAUUUUGUUUGGUAUCAUUUUUAUUCAGUAAGGCAUUUAUUUUGUUAGUGGUAAGUGUAAACUAGAGUCUUUUGCUAAGCACCAGCAACAAUCAUAUCCUAUGGUUAAAUCUCAGAAAAAUCGCUAUAUUGCAUAUUGAAUGUUCAGCAAAUUACAAUGAAGUAUAUUUUUCU